CAGCAGCCGCGGUAAUACAGAGGGUGCAAGCGUUAAUCGGAAUUACUGGGCGUAAAGCGCGCGUAGGUGGUUUGUUAAGUUGGAUGUGAAAGCCCCGGGCUCAACCUGGGAACUGCAUCCAAAACUGGCAAGCUAGAGUACGGUAGAGGGUGGUGGAAUUUCCUGUGUAGCGGUGAAAUGCGUAGAUAUAGGAAGGAACACCAGUGGCGAAGGCGACCACCUGGACUGAUACUGACACUGAGGUGCGAAAGCGUGGGGAGCAAACAGGAUUAGAUACCCGGGUAGUCCCUGUCUCUUAUAC
rnacentral:rRNA from 1 species